GCCAGACUCCUACGGGAGGCAGCAGUGGGGAAUAUUGCACAAUGGGGGAAACCCUGAUGCAGCAACGCCGCGUGAGUGAAGAAGUCAUUCGUGAUGUAAAGCUCUAUCAGCAGGGAAGAAAGAAAUGACGGUACCUGACUAAGAAGCCCCGGCUAACUACGUGCCAGCAGCCGCGGUAAUACGUAGGGGGCAAGCGUUAUCCGGAUUUACUGGGUGUAAAGGGAGCGUAGACGGCGAUGCAAGUCUGAAGUGAAAGGCGGGGGCCCAACCCCCGGACUGCUUUGGAAACUGUAUAGCUGGAGUGCAGGAGAGGUAAGUGGAAUUCCUAGUGUAGCGGUGAAAUGCGUAGAUAUUAGGAGGAACACCAGUGGCGAAGGCGGCGUACUGGACUGUAACUGACGUUGAGGCUCGAAAGCGUGGGGAGCAAACAGGAUUAGAUACCCUUGUAUCC
rnacentral:rRNA from 1 species